rnacentral:tRNA from 1 species
GUAUAGCUCAGUGAUAGAGCGCUUGCCUAGCAUGAAAGAGGCCCUAGGUUUAAUCCCCAGUAC